AGAGCGAACGCUGGCGGCAGGCCUAAUACAUGCAAGUCGAGCGGCCACUUCGGUGGCAGCGGCGGACGGGUGAGUAACGCGUGGGAAUGUGCCCUUUGGUACGGAACAACUGAGGGAAACUUCAGCUAAUACCGUAUGUGCCCUUCGGGGGAAAGAUUUAUUGCCAUUGGAGCAGCCCGCGUUGGAUUAGCUAGUUGGUGGGGUAAAGCCCACCAAGGCGACGAUCCAUAGCUGGUCUGAGAGGAUGAUCAGCCACACUGGGACUGAGACACGGCCCAGACUCCUACGGGAGCAGCAGUGGGGAAUA
rnacentral:rRNA from 1 species